rfam:Nicotiana sylvestris Nsyl_contig3149, whole genome shotgun sequence.
AUGCAGAAUAGCCUGUCAAUAUAGCCCAAGAUGACUGCCUAUCAUUUCAACCCCAAAACAGAUGUUUUGUGCUAAAUUAUUAAUAGCACUGUACCCCUUUGAGGUGGAGGGUAGUAUGCAGGCAAGUCAUCCUUGGCUAAUAAACAAAGACUCUUCUCU